rnacentral:rRNA from 1 species
UGGGGAAUAUUGCGCAAUGGGCGGAAGCCUGACGCAGCGACGCCGCGUGGGGGAUGAAGGCCUUCGGGUUGUAAACCCCUUUUACCACUCACGAAGGCACCUGGUUUUCUGGGGGUUGACGGUAGGUGGUGAAUAAGGACCGGCUAACUACGUGCCAGCAGCCGCGGUAAUACGUAGGGUCCGAGCGUUGUCCGGAAUUAUUGGGCGUAAAGGGCUCGUAGGCGGUGUGUCACGUCGAAAGUGAAAAUCCGGAGCUUAACUCCGGACCUGCUUUCGAUACGGGCACACUAGAGGUAGGCAGGGGAGACUGGAAUUCCUGGUGUAGCGGUGAAAUGCGCAGAUAUCAGGAGGAACACCGGUGGCGAAGGCGGGUCUCUGGGCCUUACCUGACGCUGAGGAGCGAAAGCGUGGGGAGCGAACAGGAUUAGAUACC